rnacentral:rRNA from 1 species
UCGGGAAUUUUGGGCAAUGGGCGAAAGCCUGACGCAGCCAUGCCGCGUGAAUGAUGAAGGUCUUAGGAUUGUAAAAUUCUUUCACCGGGGACGAUAAUGACGGUACCCGGAGAAGAAGCCCCGGCUAACUUCGUGCCAGCAGCCGCGGUAAUACGAAGGGGGCUAGCGUUGCUCGGAAUUACUGGGCGUAAAGGGCGCGUAGGCGGACAUUUAAGUCAGGGGUGAAAUCCCAGAGCUCAACUCUGGAACUGCCUUUGAUACUGGGUGUCUUGAGUGUGAGAGAGGUAUGUGGAACUCCGAGUGUAGAGGUGAAAUUCGUAGAUAUUCGGAAGAACACCAGUGGCGAAGGCGACAUACUGGCUCAUUACUGACGCUGAGGCGCGAAAGCGUGGGGAGCAAACAGGAUUAGAUACCCCUGUAGUCCCUGAGCGGGCUGGCAAGGCGCAU